rnacentral:rRNA from 1 species
UAUAAGUUUAAUCGUUUAUCGAGAAACCGCGAACGGCUCAUUACAAUGGCCAUUAUUUACUUGAUCUUGAUUGUCUAAAUGGAUAACUGUGGAAAAGCUAGAGCUAAUACAUGCACUAAAGCUUUGUCCUUACGGAAAAGCGCAUUUAUUAGAACAAAACCACGCGGCUUCGGCUGCUUCUUGUUGACUCAGAAUAACUUAGCUGACCGCAUGGCCUUGUGCCGGCGGCGUGUCUUUCAAGCGUCCACUUUAUCAACUUGACGGGAGCAUAAUCGACUCCCGUGGUGGUGACGGAUAACGGAGGAUCAGGGUUCGACUCCGGAGAAGGGGCCUGAGAAAUGGCCACUACGUCUAAGGAUGGCAGCAGGCGCGCAAAUUACCCACUCUCGGCUCCAGGAGGUAGUGACGAGAAAUAACGAGACUGUUCUCUUUGAGGCCGGUCAUCGGAAUGGGUACAAUUUAAACCCUUUAACGAGUAUCAAGCAGAGGGCAAGUCUGGUGCCAGCAGCCGCGGUAAUUCCAGCUCUGCAAAUACAUAGAAUUAUUGCUGCGGUUAGAAAGCUCAUAGUUGGAUUCGUAUCGAUACCUUGGAACCCUUCGGGUGUCUCUAGGUGUUAUCGAUUUAUCGUAAUGUUCGGUUUUGAGUCCUUAACAGGAUUCUUAACAGGCAUUGCAAGUUUACUUUGAACAAAUCAGAGUGCUUCAAACAGGCGUUUUCGCUUGAAUGAUCGUGCAUGGAAUAAUAGAAAAUGAUUUCGGUUCAGUUUUAUUGGUUUUACGGACUGAGAUAAUGGUUAACAGAGACAAACGGGGGCAUUUGUAUGGUCCCGUGAGAGGUGAAAUUCUUGGACCGUGGCCAGACAAACUACAGCGAAAGCAUUUGCCAAGAAUGUUUUUAUUAAUCAAGAACGAAAGUCAGAGGUUCGAAGGCGAUCAGAUACCGCCCUAGUUCUGACCGUAAACGAUGCCAACUAGCGAUCCGCCGAUGGAAAUUAUAUUGCCUUGGUGGGGAGCUUCCCGGAAACGAAAGUCUUCCGGUUCCGGGGGAAGUAUGGUUGCAAAGCUGAAACUUAAAGGAAUUGACGGAAGGGCACCACCAGGAGUGGAGCCUGCGGCUUAAUUUGACUCAACACGGGGAAACUCACCCGGCCCGGACACUGUGAGGAUUGACAGAUUGAUAGCUUUUUCAUGAUUCAGUGGAUGGUGGUGCAUGGCCGUUCUUAGUUCGUGGAGUGAUUUGUCUGGUUUAUUCCGAUAACGAGCGAGACUCUAACCUACUAAAUAGUUGGUACAUACUCUUAGUGUAUACAGCUUCUGAGAGGGAUUUGCGGCGUUCAGCCGAAAGAAAUUGAGCAAUAACAGGUCUGUGAUGCCCUUAGAUGUCCGGGGCUGCACGCGCGCUACACUGGCAAAAUCAACGUGCUUGUCCUACCCUGAAAGGGGCGGGUAAACCAUUGAAAAUUUGCCGUGAUUGGGAUCGGAAAUUGCAAUUAUUUUCCGUGAACGAGGAAUUCCAAGUAAGUGCGAGUCAUCAGCUCGCGUUGAUUACGUCCCUGCCCUUUGUACACACCGCCCGUCGCUGCCCGGGACUGAGCCAUUUCGAGAAAUUUGGGGACCGUUGAUUUAAUUUUUCUAAAUUACUUUGAUGGA